ACAAGGAUAAAUUCAUUAUGUCAUUUGAUAACGUCUUGAAAAUAUCACCGUACGUAAAUAUCAGUUUUUACUUUGAUUGUGAACUGUUAUAUCAUAUUGGUGGAUAUCAAGUGUCAGAAAAUUGUUAUGUACAAUUCUUUUGAAUAUUUCCUUUUGUGCAUACACAGGAGAUAGUUUGGUAGUGUCUACAAAUAAUUUAACUUGGAUCGAGGCCCAGAAAUUCUGUAGUGACCGGCAGGAAUCUCUGAUCCCGGGGACAAAGGAGGAUUUCCCCUCCCUACACUGGACGGGAUUUUAUCACAGACUCUCUGACUGGAUACACGUUCUGGGAUGCUAUGGUGACCAGGAUGUGGAGAGCCUGGGGGUACAAUCGAACCACACCCUAGUCCGGGGAUCAGUAGGUCUCUGUCAGGAGAGGUGCCCCUCUUAUCACUUCGCUCUCAAGAGCACCACGUGUCUUUGCCUGGAAAACGUUUUCCA